rnacentral:tRNA from 1 species
GGCGGAUGUAGCCAAGUGGAUCAAGGCAGUGGAUUUGGGAAUCCCCCAUCGCGCCGAAGCU